CAAUAGCGUAUAUUAAAGUUGUUGCGGUUAAAAAGCUCGUAGUUGGAUUUCUGCUUAGGACAGCCGGUCCGCACUACGUGCGUGUAUCUGGUUUGGCCUGGGCAUCCUAUCCGAAGGGGAUACUGUGCUUGAUUGCAUGGUUUUCAGUCGGGUACUUUUACUUUGAGGAAAUUAGAGUGUUCACGGCAGGCAAUCGCCCUGAAUAUAUUAGCAUGGAAUAAUAAUAUAGGAUCUGAUGCCUAUUUUGUUGGUUUCUAGGUGUUAGAUAAUGAUUAAUAGGGACAAUUGGGGGCAUUCGUAUUAUGGCGUCAGAGGUGGAAUUCUUGGAUUGCCAUACGACGAACUACUGCGAAAGCAUUUGCCAAGGAUGUUUNCAUUGA
rnacentral:rRNA from 1 species